UACGUAGGGCGCAAGCGUUUGUCCGGAAUUAUUGGGCGUAAAGAGCUCGUAGGCGGUCUGUCGCGUCCGUUGUGAAAACUCGAGGCUCAACCUCGGGCUUGCAGUGGAUACGGGCAGACUAGAGUUCGGUAGGGGAGACUGGAAUUCCUGGUGUAGCGGUGAAAUGCGCAGAUAUCAGGAGGAACACCGGUGGCGAAGGCGGGUCUCUGGGCCGAUACUGACGCUGAGGAGCGAAAGCGUGGGGAGCGAACAGG
rnacentral:rRNA from 1 species